rnacentral:rRNA from 1 species
GCUAGCGACAGGCCUAACACAUGCAAGUCGAGGGGCAGCAUUGGUACUUGUACCAGAUGGCGACCGGCGCACGGGUGCGUAACGCGUAUGCAACCUACCUCAUAUAUUGGGAUAGCCCUAAGAAAUUGGGAUUAAUACCAAAUAUUAUAAUCUAUCCACAUGGAUUAAUUAUAAAAACUCCGGUGAUAUGAGAUGGGCAUGCGUGACAUUAGAUAGUUGGUUAGGUAACGGCUCACCAAGUCUACGAUGUCUAGGGGUUCUGAGAGGAAGGUCCCCCACACUGGUACUGAGACACGGACCAGACUCCUACGGGAGGCAGCAGUGAGGAAUAUUGGGCAAUGGAGGCAACUCUGACCCAGCCAUGUCGCGUGCAGGAAGACAGUUCUAUGAAUUGUAAACUGCUUUUAUACGGGAAGAAACCGGGGGACGUGUCCCCCUUUGCCUGUACCGUACGAAUAAGCAUCGGCUAACUCCGUGCCAGCAGCCGCGGUAAUACGGAGGAUGCGAGCGUUAUCCGGAUUCAUUGGGUUUAAAGGGUGCGUAGGCGGAAUAAUAAGUCAGGGGUGAAAGUUUGCGGCUCAACCGUAAAAUUGCCUUUGAUACUGCUAUUCUUGAGUACACACGAGGUAUGCGGAAUGUGAUAUGUAGCGGUGAAAUGCUUAGAUAUAUCACAGAACACCGAUUGCGAAGGCAGCAUACUAGAGUGUCACUGACGCUGAUGCACGAAAGCGUGGGUAUCGAACAGGAUUAGAUACCCUGGUAGUCC